AUUGAACGCUGGCGGCAGGCCUAACACAUGCAAGUCGAGCGGAAGAAGGGAGCUUGCUCCUGGAUUCAGCGGCGGACGGGUGAGUAAUGCCUAGGAAUCUGCCUGGCUGUGGGGGAUAACGUCCGGAAACGGGCGCUAAUACCGCAUACGUCCUGAGGGAGAAAGUGGGGGAUCUUCGGACCUCACGCUAUCAGAUGAGCCUAGGUCGGAUUAGCUAGUUGGUGGGGUAAAGGCCUACCAAGGCGACGAUCCGUAACUGGUCUGAGAGGAUGAUCAGUCACACUGGAACUGAGACACGGUCCAGACUCCUACGGGAGGCAGCAGUGGGGAAUAUUGGACAAUGGGCGAAAGCCUGAUCCAGCCAUGCCGCGUGUGUGAAGAAGGUCUUCGGAUUGUAAAGCACUUUUAGUUGGGAAGAAGAGCAGUAAGUUAAUACCUUGCUGUUUUGACGUUACCAACAGAAUAAGCACCGGCUAACUUCGUG
rnacentral:rRNA from 1 species